GCUAACGUUAACAGCUAGCUAGCGUUACUUAUAUAAAACCUCGAAUGUAUGUCCUGUUUCCAACGCGAAUUAAACACUACCUGGGGCCUAUCACUCUACUGACAAAAGUCUACUACUCAACUGGAGCCUUUUGGGAUCCUUGACCCAUCUUCACUGCCUCCGCAUACGACAUCUUCUGACUAGAUGCUUUGUUGCGUAUUGCUGCCCUUCACAGAGGCAGACACUCCUGUUCCUAUCAGCCCCAGGCCAUGUAUCUUCCCUGCUCUGAGACUGUGAAGAGAAGGGUCUGGGCUGCAGACUGGAUCACUGACUGGAGCCUCUGUCCUUCUGAUGACCACCAGGACUGAAGUUGUUCAGUCCACCAGUCCACUGGUUGUGUUCUGUGUGGUGGUGGAGUCUCUGUCCCUCGUGGUUCGUUCCUGGUUCUGAUUUGGGAAGGACGAGCGAUGGCUCCUGAUCCAGGGUCCUGAUCCGGGGCCAGGGUUUGUGACCAGCCAUCUCAAAGGUUCUACUCUCUCCUCUCACCAGCAACAGCAAUAUCAGCAGGUCCUCAUUAACAUAAUCUAUGGCAAUCUUUGGUUGUUUAUACUUUAAUAGUUAAACACAUUUGUUCAUAUAUAUUGUUCAUUUAUUAUAUCUGUGUCCAUAUUGUCCAUGAGUUUCUAGUAGAUAGACCAAAUGGUUCAAGAGAAAAUAGUCAAUUUAAUGAAAAUAUUAUCUAAUCAACAUUGGCAUUAUUUUCAAUUAACUCUGCAACUAUUGACUGGGUUCACAACUGACACUAGUUUGACAUCAAAUACACGUUGACAUUAAAAAAUAAAUAAGCAUGUAAAAAAAUAUAUAUUUCCUGCUGUAACCCUCAUAUUAAACACCAAUGGUAUUCUCUAAGGCCUGAU